GGCUUAUUUAUUAUUUUUUUAUGUUUUUUUGUGUUCUCAGGUAAGUAGAAUCUUAAUUAGUAUCAUGUACUUUUUAUUUUCAGGAAGAUGGGGCUCGAUUUGUGUUAGGUGCUUUUUAAGUAAUUGUGGAAUUAUGUAUUAUAUACUAUAUUAUCAAGUGUAUUUUGAGGAAUUUUUAUUUCAGGUCAAUAGGGAUUAAUUUGUAUUAUGUGCUUUUUAAUUUUCAGAGAAGUAGGGCUUAAUUUGUAUUAGAUCUCUGUUAUUCUCCCGGUCAAUAGGGAUUAAUUUGUAUUAUGUGCUUUUUAAUUUUCAGAGAAGUAGGGCUUAAUUUGUAUUAGAUCUCUGUUAUUCUCCCGGUUAAUAGGGCUUAAUUUGUAUUAUAUGCUUUGUAAUCGAUUGUAUUUAGAGGAAUUUUUAUUCUGAAUCAGUGGAAUCACUUUCCUUGAAUUCUGGAGUGAGGAUAAAUUAACAAGCCGUUGCAACGUUUCGGUUCUCCUGGAACCUUCUUCAGGCAGGCUUGUUAUGAUUUGAAAUUAGUUGAAUAAGUUUGAGGAUCCAAAAAAAAUAUGAGUAUUGUUUACAGGCUUUCUCUCAAAGAGCUGGAAGCAGAUUUACUAAAAUGGAUUAAGCAUCAAAAGAAUAUGAUUAGUGUUUAAA
ensembl:lncRNA